rnacentral:rRNA from 1 species
AGAGUUUGAUCAUGGCUCAGAACGAACGCUGGCGGCGUGGAUAAGACAUGCAAGUCGGACGAGAUUUUCCGUUGUAGCAAUACGAUGGAAAGUCUAGUGGCGAACGGGUGCUUAACACGUGGGCAAUCUGUCUUAAAGUGGGGGAUAGCUCGGCGAAAGCCGAAUUAAUACCGCAUGUGAUUAGAGUGGACAUCCAUUCAAAAUUAAAGGUGGCGCAAGCUACCGCUUUUUUGAGGAGCCCGCGGCCUAUCAGCUUGUUGGUGAGGUAACGGCUCACCAAGGCUUUGACGGGUAGCUGGUCUGAGAGGACGACCAGCCACACUGGGACUGAGACACGGCCCAGACACCUACGGGUGGCAGCAGUCGAGAAUUUUUCUCAAUGGGGGAAACCCUGAAGGAGCGACGCCGCGUGGAGGAUGAAGGUCUUCGGAUUGUAAACUCCUGUCAUUGGGGAACAAGUCGCUUACGUUAACUGCGUGAGCGUUGAUAGUACCCGAAGAGGAAGAGACGGCUAACUCUGUGCCAGCAGCCGCGGUAAUACAGAGGUCUCAAGCGUUGUUCGGAUUCAUUGGGCGUAAAGGGUGCGUAGGCGGCGCGGUAAGUCGGGUGUGAAAUCUUGGAGCUUAACUCCGAAACUGCAUUCGAUCUGCCGUGCUUGAGGACUGGAGAGGAGACUGGAAUUUACGGUGUAGCGGUGAAAUGCGUAGAUAUCGUAAGGAAGACCAGUGGCGAAGGCGGGUCUCUGGACAGUUCCUGACGCUGAGGCACGAAGGCCAGGGGAGCAAACGGGAUUAGAUACCCUAGUAGUCC